UAGCCGUAAACGAUACUCGCUAGGUGUCGGCCACGGUGCGACCGUUGUCGGUGCCGUAGGGAAGCCGUGAAGCGAGCCACCUGGGAAGUACGGCCGCAAGGCUGAAACUUAAAGGAAUUGGCGGGGGAGCACCACAACGGGUGGAGCUUGCGGUUUAAUUGGAUUCAACGCCGGAAAUCUUACCGGGACCGACAGCAACAUGAAGGCCAGGCUGAAGACUUUGCCGGAUUAGCUGAGAGGUGGUGCAUGGCGUAU
rnacentral:rRNA from 1 species